rnacentral:rRNA from 1 species
UUGGCCGGGCGACGGUUGUCCCGGUUUAAGCGUGUAGGUGUGUGUUCCAGGUAAAUCCGGUUCACUUUAACACUGAGGCGUGACGACGAGGCACUACGGUGCUGAAGCAACAAAUGCCCUGCUUCCAGGAAAAGCCUCUAAGCAUCAGGUAACAUCAAAUCGUACCCCAAACCGACACAGGUGGUCAGGUAGAGAAUACCAAGGCGCUUGAGAGAACUCGGGUGAAGGAACUAGGCAAAAUGGUGCCGUAACUUCGGGAGAAGGCACGCUGACACGUAGGUGAAGUGAUUUACUCAUGGAGCUGAAGUCAGUCGAAGAUACCAGCUGGCUGCAACUGUUUAUUAAAAACACAGCACUGUGCAAACACGAAAGUGGACGUAUACGGUGUGACGCCUGCCCGGUGCCGGAAGGUUAAUUGAUGGGGUCAGCGCAAGCGAAGCUCCUGAACGAAGCCCCGGUAAACGGCGGCCGUAACUAUAACGGUCCUAAGGUAGCGAAAUUCCUUGUCGGGUAAGUUCCGACCUGCACGAAUGGCGUAAUGAUGGCCAGGCUGUCUCCACCCGAGACUCAGUGAAAUUGAACUCGCUGUGAAGAUGCAGUGUACCCGCGGCAAGACGGAAAGACCCCGUGAACCUUUACUAUAGCUUGACACUGAACAUUGAGCCUUGAUGUGUAGGAUAGGUGGGAGGCUUUGAAGUGUGGACGCCAGUCUGCAUGGAGCCGACCUUGAAAUACCACCCUUUAAUGUUUGAUGUUCUAACGUGGACCCGUUACCCGGGUUGCGGACAGUGUCUGGUGGGUAGUUUGACUGGGGCGGUCUCCUCCUAAAGAGUAACGGAGGAGCACGAAGGUUGGCUAAUCCUGGUCGGACAUCAGGAGGUUAGUGCAAUGGCAUAAGCCAGCUUGACUGCGAGCGUGACGGCGCGAGCAGGUGCGAAAGCAGGUCAUAGUGAUCCGGUGGUUCUGAAUGGAAGGGCCAUCGCUCAACGGAUAAAAGGUACUCCGGGGAUAACAGGCUGAUACCGCCCAAGAGUUCAUAUCGACGGCGGUGUUUGGCACCUCGAUGUCGGCUCAUCACAUCCUGGGGCUGAAGUAGGUCCCAAGGGUAUGGCUGUUCGCCAUUUAAAGUGGUACGCGAGCUGGGUUUAGAACGUCGUGAGACAGUUCGGUCCCUAUCUGCCGUGGGCGCUGGAGAACUGAGGGGGGCUGCUCCUAGUACGAGAGGACCGGAGUGGACGCAUCACUGGUGUUCGGGUUGUCAUGCCAAUGGCACUGCCCGGUAGCUAAAUGCGGAAGAGAUAAGUGCUGAAAGCAUCUAAGCACGAAACUUGCCCCGAGAUGAGUUCUCCCUGAGACUUUAGGUCUCCUGAAGGAACGUUGAAGACGACGACGUUGAUAGGCCGGGUGUGUAAGCGCAGCGAUGCGUUGAGCUAACCGGUACUAAUGAACCGUGAGGCUUAACCUUACAACGCCGAAG